UCCGAUUUGUCACCGGCAGUCUCCUAUGAGUCCCCGACAUUACUCGCUGGCAACAUAGAACAAGGGUUGCGCUCGUUGCGGGACUUAACCCAACAUCUCACGACACGAGCUGACGACAACCAUGCACCACCUGUAUGGCGCCCUUGCGGACCUGACAUCUCUGCCAGUUUUCACCAUAUGUCAAGCCUUGGUAAGGUUCUUCGCGUUGCGUCGAAUUAAACCACAUGCUCCACCGCUUGUGCGGGCCCCCGUCAAUUCCUUUGAGUUUUAACCUUGCGGCCGUACUCCCCAGGCGGGAUGCUUAAUGCGUUAGCUGCGCCACCAACAAGCAUGCUUGCUGACGGCUAGCAUCCAUCGUUUACAGCGUGGACUAC
rnacentral:misc_RNA from 1 species